rnacentral:rRNA from 1 species
UACGUAGGGGGCAAGCGUUGUCCGGAAUCAUUGGGCGUAAAGCGCGCGUAGGCGGCCCGGUAAGUCCGCUGUAAAAGUCCAGGGCUCAACCCUGGAAAGCCGGUGGAUACUGUCGGGCUAGAGUCCGGAAGAGGCGAGUGGAAUUCCUGGUGUAGCGGUGGAAUGCGCAGAUAUCAGGAGGAACACCAAUAGUGAAGGCAGCUCGCUGGGACGGUAUUGACGCUAAGGCGCGAAAGCGUGGGGAGCAAACAGG